CGCGUAGGCGGUCUGAUAAGUCAGUGGUGAAAACUGAGGGCUCAACCCUCAGCCUGCCACUGAUACUGUCAGACUUGAGUAUGGAAGAGGAGAAUGGAAUUCCUAGUGUAGCGGUGAAAUGCGUAGAUAUUAGGAGGAACACCAGUGGCGAGGGCGAUUCUCUGGGCCAAAACUGACGCUGAGGCGCGAAGCGUGGGAGCAAACA
rnacentral:rRNA from 1 species